rnacentral:lncRNA from 1 species
GUAGCACGAGUUCCAGAUACCACACCAUGAGACGGUUCGACCGGCCCAUACCAACUAGUGAGCAAUUAAUGGCCUACAAAACUAUUACUAAUCUCCCUCAUGCUUCAUCCUUUCCUCCAAGUGGAACCCGGGCCCUUCACUCAAGCCGGGCCUUAUCUGAAUCGGCGAAACCAAUUUUGAACCGUCCGCUAUCACCUCAUCUUCCUUUAAAAAAGCCGCAGCUGAGCGCGACAUACUCAAUCUCGCAUCGCAUAUUCGGAGUCGGCUUAGCCACUCUUAUACUCCUGCCUCCCCUUGCUAUGAAGUUUAGCCUCCUAUCUGAUAUCUGAGAGUUAACUAGAAAAAAGAGGGGGACUCUCUUUUGUUGUGCUAUGGUUCCAAACUCUGGGAAUUAUUAUAAUAUCAGAGUGAAUGAUGGAGAGGCUACUUUUGUAAUAAGUGCUUUUUAGAGUUGUUCUUUCGCACCUUGUUUAAUAUGGAUAUUAUCUGAAACAUUUGUGGUUUGUGUUUGUCUCUUGCAACUAUGAAGUAUAAUAUCCUUCGCAAAUUGACUGAAUUAGCAUCUGGUGAAAUGAAUAUUUCAAUGAUUAAAUAAGAAAAUGUAAUUUGAUGAGUAUUGGGAUUCUCUCCUAUGUAUGAAGUUUCUUUCUAUUGCGAAUCAAAUUCGUUUUAUUAAAUCUGGACAGAUUUUAGCUCUCCUCAUUCUCCUUGAAAAUCUCCUUAUCAAGUUGUUGGUGAAAUGUGUUCAAGUCCAUGUUAAAAUGAAUUUCUUUAUUUCUAGUCAUCUAAUCUCAACUAAAAUUAUACAGGAAAUAUAGGUGUAGAUCAUACGUGCUGGACUACUAAAAGGGCACAUAUACUCACUUGUUAGGAGUGUAAAUCGUACACCAUUUGAUCAAGGUUUUAAUGAAUCCUUGCGAGUUUUUAAUUUAAGAAAAAAAAAAGUUUGAAAUAAAAACUUUAAAACCCUAGAAGGAUGGAGUAUAAAAUGUACAAUUGUAAUAGGACGUACAGACAGUGUAGUGCAACACCAGAUGUUCACACACUCUGUCAUUAUCAAGCAGAGUCGAAGUCCUCUUCUCUUUCUUUCUCUCUCUCCUUUACUUUUAAUUAAUAGUGGAUCGAAGAGAAUCCCAGUAAAUCAAGUGAUCGAUUCCUCCAUUAGGUUGACUUGUCAAAGUCCACCCACCAAGAUUUGUGAGGUGGUUUGGUCGCAAAGGUCCCACAUCCAUUAAUUAUUUCUGCUGGAACUUACUCUCACAAUUAAUAUGGACAAAAAUUUGGUGGGUAUCGUACCCAAAUAAUUUUGUUUGGGUACUAUGCCGAUGGGCGCGGCGCCCAUCGCGACCCUCGGAAAACGGCAAAAAAAGAAAAAAAAUCUAUGGGCUCCGUUUUUUAGAAAGAGAGAGAGAGAGAGAGAAAGGGGAAAGGGGCGGUGGUGUUGGGUGCCCAUACGCACGCGGCGCCCAUCGGCUCCGUCCCCAUACAAAUUGUUUGGAGACGGAUGCCCACUAAAUUUGUUGUUUGGGACAGAUGCCUACUAAAUUUUUGUCCCAAUUAAUACCGAGUCACACGCAUAACUUCAUGUACAAAACUUUUCUUAGUAUUUUAAAAAAAUUUCAAAUACCACCCAUAUGGUUUCAUACUUUCUCGCUUUAAUAUCCUGUGAUUUAAAGUGUAUUAAUUUAGUGUCAUAUGGUUUUUUUUUAUUUUUUUAUUAUCGAUUUUACUAAUUUUUUUUGUUAAAUCAGUGACAAAGUUAAAACUAAAAGAUACUAAAAUAAAUAUAUGAUAAAUCUAUAUUGGGUAUCUAAAGUUUUUUUGUUUAUAAUUUAAAAAAAUAUUAAUGAAAAAGUUGACGAAAAGAUAAAAAUAAAACCACAUACAUUAACUUGAUAUACUUUAAACCAUAGGGUAUUAAAAUGAGAAAGUGUCAAACCACAGGAAUGGUGUUUGAAGUUUACCAUAAUAUUUACUUACUGAUCAAUCAUUUAUGCUGAAACAGAAAAGUACGUACGGGGCAUUCAAAAAGAGCAUUCAUAAUUAAAUUGGAUUAGAUAAGAUAGGAAAAACAACGAUGUCCACAGAGACAAAUGGUAUAUAGCAACUGAAUAAUCCAAAAAAUGUAGGUUUUUCGAACCCAAUCUCCUGUAAUCCCAACCCUCCAAUCAUUUAGUUAGAUCAUAUUCAAUAAUUUUAAAAAUAUAAAAUUAUCUCAACCGGUUGUCCAUAAUGAUAUUUUUUUUUUAUUGGUAUAUUGAUAUAGAUAAAAUAUAUAUUUUAUUAUUUGGGUAAACUUCAAAUACCCUAGUGUGGUUUCACACUUUUUCGCUUUAGUACCCUUUGGUUUAAAGUGUAUCAAUUUAGUACUAUGUGAUUUCGCACUUUCUCACUUUAGUACCUUGUGGUUUAAAGUGCAUCAAGUUAGUGCCAUGUCGUUUCAUUUUUCUCUUUUUAUUAUUUAUUUCACUAAUUUUUUUUAUUAAAUCAAUAACAAAGUUAAAAUUAAAAGGUACUAAAGUGAAUAUUCGAUAAAUCUAUGUAGUGUAUCUGAAGUUUUUUGUAUAUAAUUUAACGAAAUAUUAACGGAGGAAAAAAAAAAUUAGCAACAAAGUUAGAACUAAUGGGUACUAAAAUAAAUAUUCGAUAAAUCUAGAUAGGGUAUAUGAAGUUUUUUUUGUAUAUAAUUUAACGAAAUAUUAACAGAGGAGCGGACGGAAAAAAAAAAAUGAAAUCACAGGGUACUAAUUAAAUUGAUGCACUUUAAAGUUUAAACUACAUAGCACUAAAGUGAGAAAGUGAAAAACCACAGAGUACUAAAUUGAUACGCCUUAAACCACAUGUUACUAAAGUGAAAAAGUGCGAAACCACAUGGAUAGUAUUUGAAGUUUUUUUUUAUUAUUUUGUACAUACAAUUUAAAAUACCAUAUGAAUUUGAGAAUUGGCUAGUAAAAUAAAAAAAAAACUCUUGAGAGAAACAAAAACAUUUUUCCACAUAAAAUUGCACUAUAUAUAAUAAUAAUAAUGUUUUAAAUUUGGGGAAUUAAUACAUUUGUAACCUUGUGAACGCUCUGAGCAACUUUAGUAAUAAUAUAUAUAUAAAUCAAUGAAUCACUUGAAAAGUAAACUCUCCUUGAAUAUUUUAUUUAACUAAAUUAUAUAUAUAUAUAUAUAUAUUUAUUUAUUUAUUUAUUUAUUAUAUCCCACUAUGGUUUUUUAAAAUAAAAAAUUUUCAUGCACCAGAUCUGGAUCCUACGGCUGAGAUUCGCGGUGUGACCUCACGUUGAUGCUGACUCAGAUGCCCUAGCCGUCGCAGAAUCCAAGAUCGUAACUAGAUUCAAAAAAAAAAAAAAAAAAAAAAGUCCACGUGUACAAAUAAUAAAAAAACACAUGGGAAAAAAAAUAUCUUGGUGGGCCCCACCAAACUGUUGUCCCGUUCUAACUUAUACUGAUUGGGGUAAAAAAUGGACGGAGACCCCUCACCUUUACAACAUUUCGAAAUUACCCUGUCCAUUAUUUUUUUAAUUUUUAUCGAACUAAUAUUUUGUCGCACUUACCUAUUCGGAACACUUUUGCAUUUUUAUUGAACUUUGAACGUGAUUACUUGCAAAUAAUUAGUACCUAACAUAGAUUUGAACUCAUUUCUAAAUGUAAUUAAAAUUAAUAUAGUUAAAAGCUAAAAAAUUAUCAACGAGUUGAAAAGGCUUUUUUUGGGGGGUUUUUUUUACAGGGAUUCCCAAAGGCCCAACGCAAAUAUUCAUAUUUAUAUAGUAAGCAAGGUUUGAACCCACUAGAAUACUAACUAACUUAGCUAUUUAGUGAUGGUAAUCACUUUAAAAAUUAUUAAGGUGUUUAUUUCCAAAUGGCGUGUAGUUGAGGGGGUAACCAUACAUUUUCACCUAAUACUUUAUAAAAAAAGAAUGUUAUUCAUAACUAUCCAUCAAAAUUAAUAAAUAAUAAAAAAACUUAGAAGGAUGCGGACUGCUAUACUGCUAAUAGCACAGUAAUUUUGAGGUGGUCACAUAAUUCAUUAUUUUUGUUUUUCUUCAGAGCUAAAACAUGUUAAAAAUAUUAGAAAAUAAAAUAUAAUAACUUAACAUAAGUUCAAUUGAACUGUAGUUUUGCGCGACCGUUGUUUAAGGUUCCUACAGAGUCAAGUCCUAAGUCACCAUUAAGAUAUUUGAAAGAUUUUUACUAUGUCACGGAGACAGAAAAAAAAAAAAAAUUAUAGCAUANUUUGACACAUGCUUCUCGAUCACAAACAGAUAGAGAGAAAAGUUAGGCUCUAUUCAUUUCAUUGGAUUCGUGAUAACAACAAUCACAAUAACAAUCCAAACCACUUCUCCACUUGUGGGUCGGUACGCUACCACCGUAAACUUCAAAUUUUUAUUUUAAAAAGGAGCUAAAAUUAAGAUUUUUUUUUUGAGGGAAAAAUAGAUUCGCUAUCUGCUUCAUUUGUAGCGAAUAUUAACAGAUCUGUAAAAGUGAGACAACUGGCCUCGAGAAUUAAAACGCCCCAACGAGAGCAAACUCAAAACAAAAAAAAAAAAAACAAAAAAAAAUAAGGUAAGAUAAGAAUAGCUAGCACCAUAAAAAAAAAACUUCAAAUAUCGUUCCUGUGGUUUCAUACUUUUUCACUUUAGUACCCUAUGAUUUAAGUGUAUCAAUUUAGUGCCUAUAGAUUUAUUUUUAUCUUUUUAUUAUCGAUUCCACUAAUUUUUUUCAUUAAAUCAACGACAAAAUUAACACUAAAGGAUAUUAUAGUGAAUAUUGGAUAAAUCUAGGUAGGGUAUCUGAAGUUUUUUUGUAUAUAAUUUAAUAAAAUAUUAAUGAAAAAGCUGAGAAAAAGAUAAAAAUGAAAUUACAGAUGAUGUAUCUUAAAUCAUAGAACAUUAAAAUGAGAAAGUACAAAACACAUGAAUGGUAUUUAAAAUUUACCCUUUUAAGGAACAAUAAUCUCUUUUGAGUGCUCUUAAAAGGGAGUAUAAAAAGGUUCUUUGCUUAAAAUUCAAGCCCGUAACAAAUGCAGUAUAAAGUAGAAAAAAAGAAGAGAGAGUUUGAUUCCUUGACUUGUAUUGACUCCACGAAAUUGAAUGCUAUUCCUGGAGCAGCAGUAAACACGUGAUGCGUGUGCUCCACUUUUCCCAAUCACCCCCCCAACUUGUCUAUUAUUUUAUUCUGUUGAAUUUAAUUUUAUUUAAGGGUAAAAUGUGAGUAUUGUCCUUGUAUUGUUUCCGUAUUGCUACGUAAUCCAGAAGAAAACUUGUGUUGUGUGUGUAUUUCCAACUUCGUUUUUGAUUGGUGAUAAAGAUGAAAUUUGUGCAGGAUAAUGAGGUACUUGACACUAUUUUAAGUGAAUCUAAAUAGGUGAUUUUAGAGGAGAGAAACGUUUUUGUAUAAUUCUAACAUAAAGCAUUGGAUUUUAGAUAGUUGGAUGAAAAAAAUAUAAAAAUAAUAUAAUUUUUACUAUAUAUUAAAAAAAAUUGAUAGAAAGGAUUUAUCUGUUUGGCUUUACAUAAAGUAGAGUGUAAAGGAGAAAAAAAAAAAAUGAAGAUGCGGCUACAAUUGAAAACAAAAAUGAUAUUUGAAAUCUGAAAAUUAAGUUUCAAAUUUAGUAUUUUUUAUUCUGUUUUAGAAAUAAACAAUUACGAAUAUAUUGAUAUGAGUUCGGCUACUAUAAUAUCAAUAGUACUAAGCUCUUGAUACUAUCGAGUUUUCUAUCGUUAGAUCUAUUAUUUGAUCAUUUUCAUCCGUUAGAUUAUACUAUUCAACCAACCACCGAUCCAACCUUAGUGGGGAACCACUAUCAUCCUAACCACAUAUUCUUUCAUCCAACAGUCGAAAAAUCAAUAGUACAAAACGUUGGUUAUCGAUAGUAUAGUAGCAAAAUUGAUACUGAUAUAGAGUUUUUUUAUUUUUUGUACAGUAAUACUCACAUAGCACACAUUCAUGCAAAAAAAAGUCCACAAACAAAGCAGGGACUAAUUUGAGAUAUUGGAAUAGUACAAGGACUAUCCAAACAUUUUUUUUCGAUCCCAUUCGAUACGUACAGCUACGACCUCCCUCACCAUUGGACUACACAUUUUCCGGUUACAUCCGGGCCCCUCUCUUCUCUCGACUUCUCCAUCACGGGUCCCCAAGGCAUUGAUAUAACCCCGACCACUCUUAUAGCAAUCCCAUUAUUAACCGAAAAAAAAGAGUCUCCUUUUAUUCAAUGGGUCAUUGAGAUUUGAGCAAAAGGGGAGCUGGGUUUUGCAGCUUGUGGGAGAUGGGUUCCUCUUCUCCUCUCUCUGUGAGCUUCGUGCUCCUCCAUUUCGUAGCAGUGGUGGUGGGUUUGAAGCCCACUGUGGUGAACAUUGGGGCUCUGUUCACCUUCAAUUCGACGAUCGGGGCCGUGGCGAGGACCGCGAUAGAGCUCGCGGUGGAGGACGUUAAUGGGGACCGAGGAGUCCUCGCGGGGACGAAGCUUAAUGUGAUCACGCAGGAUACGAAUUGCAGUGGGUUUCUGGGAACCAUAGAAGGUAAUUGGUUGUGGGCUUGUUUGCGUAAAGAUCACUUUUUUUUUCCUUAUUGUUUUGCUAAUUUUUGUUGCUGCAGCUUUUGUGUUUGUGGAAUUGAUUCCGACGGAUAAAGUUUUGGACUUUCGAUAAAAGUUUUGUGGGUUAUCUCUUUUUUAAGGUUUUUAUUGCUGCAAAUAGCUUUUAAUCUCUUUUAGGUACAAAUUUGCUGCAUAAUUGUGUUGCUCUAUGCAGUAAUCAAGUACAGUAGCUUAUAUUGUAUUCAUGCAUAUUUGUUAUAGUAAAUUUAAGUGAUUUCUUAAUAAGUUUUGGGGUUUAGAUUGAGUCCGGCUAAGGUGAAGAGUGCACUAACAAAUUAAAGAUUGAAGAUUCGAUCUAUAUUGCCAAUCACUUAUUUCAUUUGCGUUGUGAUUCGAGAUAUAUUUUAUCGUUGACGCCAUGAGUUUUUUUGACGCCAUGAGUUACUAAUAAACAACUGAGCUUGAACCCCAAACUUACUUUAUUGGCGUGUCCUUCACUAGAGCCGGACACAUUUAGAAACGUUUAGGGCGUGUUUCUUUCAAUCAAAGUUGGGGUCGAAUUGGCUGAGUUCCCAGAAUCGGAGUUUGCCGGUGUUUGGAUAGAAUCACGGAGCUCGACUUCCGUGCAUGCGAAUCCAUCUCACAGGACAGCAAGUUCGCAUACUGCGCAAACUUGCAACUUCGCCUGCGACGAGCGCAGAGUCGAACUCCGCUGUACGGACAGAACUUGCCGUGUUCGCUGGGUAUAGCUUGUUUUUUCCAAAGCACCCCCUUAGCUUUGCUUGGUCCUUCAUAAAGAUGAAAGUGGAAUCUUCGCACUUUUAUGGGCAUAAGGAUCUAGUAACUUAUAUCUCUGCUUUUUCAUCGGCUUCUAUUGUUUAUGAAGAUUUAAGCACAAUUUUCGCUUGUCUCAAUUUAACCUUUUUGCUUCUUUGUGCACGCUUAAAAUUCAUUUUUUUUUUCCUUUUUUUAAUUUAUGCAGCCUUACAAUUGAUGGAAAAUGAAGUCGUCGCCGUGUUAGGUCCACAAUCAUCAGGCAUUGCCCAUGUGGUCUCUCAUGUCGUUAAUGAACUCCACGUUCCACUUCUUUCUUUUGCGGCCACCGACCCAACUCUUGCUUCCCUCCAAUACCCUUAUUUUGUCCGAGUCACUCAAGAUGAUUCAUUUCAAAUGAAUGCAAUUGCCGAUAUAAUCAGUUACUACGGAUGGAGAGAAGUUAUUGCCAUUUAUGUAGAUGAUGAUUAUGGGAGAGGAGGGAUCACUGCAUUAGGUGACGCCCUCGCAAACCGGCGAGCUGAUAUAAGCUACAAAGCCGUGUUCCCUCCCAAUGCAGAUUUAAGCGUCAUCAAUGACUUGUUGGUACAAGUGAAUUUGAUGGAAUCACGAGUCUAUGUUGUUCAUGUGAACCCUGACUCGGGCCUUAAUGUUUUCUCUAUCGCAAAAUCUCUUGGAAUGAUGGGUAGUGGGUAUGUGUGGAUAGCAACUGAUUGGCUCGCUUCAGUUUUAGAUUCAUCUCAACCGUCAAAUCCCGGCAUGAUGAACCUUAUACAGGGGGCCAUUGUUCUUCGCCAACAUACUGCUGAUUCUGAUCUCAAAAGAUCAUUAGUUUCUCGAUGGAAUAAUUUGGUCCGAACGGGGAAUGCCACUGCAAACCUGAACAGUUACGGGCUGUAUGCAUAUGAUUCGGUUUGGUUAGCUGCCCGUGCGAUUGACCAGUUCUUGAAUGAAGGACAAGUAAUUUCUUUCUCCAGUGAUCCGAGGAUUCAUGAUGCAAAUGGAAGUAACCUUCAUUUAAGUUCACUUAGAUACUUUGAUGGAGGUCAGAAUUUGUUAGGGAAAGUGCUUCAAACGAAUUUCAAAGGUGUUACCGGCCAAGUUCAAUUUAGUCCCGAUAAGAAAUUAAUCCAUCCUGCGUAUGAUAUCUUAAAUAUUGGCGGUACAGGUUUUCGGAGAAUAGGGUAUUGGUCAAACUACUCGGGCCUCUCUGUUACUGCUCCUGAAAGUUUGUAUGGAAGGCCGUUAAACUCUUCUCAAAGUAACGAACAGCUAUACAGUGUAAUAUGGCCCGGUGAAACAACGACGAAGCCACGUGGUUGGGUAUUUCCAAACAAUGGGAAACCUCUAAAAAUUGGGGUCCCUUAUCGAACGAGCUACAAGGAAUUCGUUUCAAAGGAUAGUGGUCCUGAUGGUGUUAAGGGGUAUUGUAUUGAUGUGUUUAAAGCUGCAGUUAACUUAUUACCUUACCCUGUUCCAUGCGAAUUCAUUCUGUUCGGAGAUGGUUCUAAGAAUCCCAACUACAACGAACUUGUUCAGAAGGUUGCUGAUAAUGUACGUAUAAAUCCAUUCAUAAGAAUUGCCUCCUCAGUUUCCAGUCGACUAGUCGAGGAUCUCCUUUUGUUUAUAGGCUAAAACGAAUGUAUACACUCCCAAGUAGCGGUGAUUUGGAAACAAGUCCCUGUACUUCAUUUUCAUUGCAUUUGAAACCCCUAAAUAUCAUAAUGUUUGAUCUUUCGUGUUUCCUAAGAUUGAUAAUUUUAAUAAAUAACGUUGUAGUGAGCUUUUUCCAACUUACCUACAGUCGGGUGGUGUACAUAAAUUUUAGCCUUUUGGAAAAUUAUACAUCUUAUGUAUCUCUUUUUAGCUUGAUCAAAAUCCAAUGUUUUGUAACAUACCUUUUUUCUUUUUGAUUAGUACUUUGAUGCUGCUGUUGGUGACAUUGCCAUCGUGACAAACAGAACGAGGAUUGUGGACUUCACACAACCAUAUACUGAAUCAGGGCUUAUUAUUGUUGCUUCUGUGAAAGAGAGAAACUCAAGUGCUUGGGCUUUUAUGAAGCCAUUCACAAUAUCGAUGUGGUGCGUCACGGGGAUUUUCUUUCUAUUUGUGGGAGCAGUCGUGUGGAUUCUUGAGCAUCGUACUAAUAAAGAGUUUCGUGGAUCUCCAAAGCAACAACUUGUAACAAUAUUCUGGUCCGUAUUCUCAACUAGUCGACUUCUUCGUUCUACUGGUUAAUAAAGCCUAAUGUUUAAAGCUUUUGGUUUCGCUUUUCAAUUUAUGCUUAUUUCGGGAACUGGCCGGGGAUCUCUUUAGAUCUAUUCGAGAUAUUCCACUAAUUUGAAUAAUACAUAUACUUAAUUAGUCACGUUAGGUAGUUUCUUAAAACUUUUCUUGGCUUAUUUUCCUUUGCCAAACAGAAGGAAACUAACCAAAUUAUUGUCUACUAUGCAGGUUUAGUUUCUCGACAAUGUUUUUCGCACACAGUAAGUAGAUGAUACUAUUAUUUCUGAACAAAAUUUUCAUUUUGUAUUAAACUAAAAAAUCCAUAAUCUCAGCUUUCAUUUGGUGAUCUAUUACAGGAGAGAACACUGUGAGCACCCUUGGACGAUUCGUGCUCAUCAUAUGGCUCUUUGUUGUAUUAAUCAUCAAUUCAAGCUACACCGCGAGCCUCACAUCUAUCCUUACAGUUCAGCAACUUUCCUCUCGAAUCGAAGGACUCGACAGCUUGAUCUCUAGCUCUGAUCCUAUUGGCUACCAAGUUGGAUCAUUUGCGAAAAACUACCUCAUGGAAGAGCUAAAUAUCGCUGAGUCGAGAUUGGUUUCUCUAAAUAACCCAGAAGCUUAUGCGAGAGCUUUAGAUCUCGGGCCAAAAGACGGGGGUGUAGCUGCAGUAGUAGAUGAGCUUCCAUAUGUUGAGCUUUUCUUGGCCAAGUACUGCAACUACAGGACAGUGGGUCAAGAGUUCACAAAGAGUGGGUGGGGCUUCGUAAGUAUCUUUCUAUUCCUCUAUAAUAUGUUAAACUCUCCCUAGGGUGGAUUCAAGCGAAAACUUUAGGUACACUUCUUGUGGUAUAGUCUGAUUUUUCACUUUAACACUCUCUGGUUCAAACUGUUCCACCUAGAGUAACCUAUGCCAAAAAAAGAAAAAAGAAAAAAGAAAAAGAUAGAAACUAUAUAUUGAGCAUGUAACAAUCAGAGGGUGGUAAAGCGAAGUCGGGCUAUACCAGUAUGAUGGAAUCCAAAUUCCAAAGUAGAUGAAUAUGAAAGACUCAACUAGUUAUUGGCUGGGUCUGGUUCAACCCAGUUUACUGGGUGGGCCGGGUUGGAUCUCAAAUGAGAUCUGAAAAAAUUGAUUUUUGUAGCAUUUUUAACAAGCCUCAUGAUCUAUUCUAAAGUUUCUCGUAACGUCAAUGUGCUCUCAAGUAAUCGAUGAUUACCACUUUACAGGCCUUUCCAAGAGACUCUCCUCUUGCGGUUGACUUGUCGACAGCCAUCCUGACACUCUCAGAGAACGGCGAUCUACAAAGAAUUCACGACAAGUGGUUGACCAGCACAGGGUGCAGCUCGCAGGACGCCCAAGUCGAUUCGAACCGGUUAAGUCUCGAGAGCUUCUGGGGCCUCUUCCUUGUAUGCGGCGUCGCAUGUUUGAUAGCUCUCAUAAUCUUCUUCUUCAGAAUACUUUGUCAGUAUAGCAAGUACAGUAGCCAUGACGAAGUCGAGCGCUGCGAAUCGCAGGGAGGAAGUAGCAGAGGAUUGGCAAGAUUAACGAGCAUCAAGGAAUUACUCUCUUUUGUCGAUAAGAAGGAAGAAGAGAUUAAGAAUGCAAUCAGGAGAAAAUCAAUCGAUAGACAGCAACAAGUCGAGAACAGCUCAACUGGGCAAUCCCCGUCGCCUGCAUAGUAAUGAGAUAUUCCUUACCUCAUUGCAAUUUGAAAGCAAACAUUUUCAAAUUUAGCAACCAAAGGUGAAUGUUUAUUUUUUCCGGACAACAUAUGCUGGGAUUAAUCCGCAAACAAAGGGAGCAACAGCAACAAUCUGUACUUGCUUCGACAUUGCGCGAUGUAAAAGUUAAAACAGACGUAUAUACGGAGUUGGUAGGUAUUAAGCUUUUGAGCAAACUGAAAUGUGUAACAGCUUGUUAGUGUAAGCUAGUUUUUCGUGUAUUCUAUCAUUUUCUGUGAUUGAAUAAACCACAAGAUGUAUAUGAAUUUUGUUGGUUAGAUUAACUAAAAUGUUGUACAUCUCUUGCUGCAGUUUUGAUUAUUGAAAUGUAUCCUCUGGGCAAAAUAUUUCUGCUGGUGAACUGAUUAUGAAACUUUUGCCAAAGAUAAAAGCCUAAUUGAUCCUGCAUGAACUUAAUCUGAUUGUGAUCUUGGCCUAGAUGGAUCGGGCCCGAAUCUAUUAUGGGCUUGAUUUUUUUUUUUUUUCAAUUGAAUUAGAUUAGGUUUUGAUGCUGCUCGGCCCAUCGGCUUCUUCAGUUAGCCUGGUCUUCAACUAGUUUAAUUCAUGAUCUUCUAAGAUAGAACAAGUUUUAAGCAUAAAAGAGGUUUCAAUUUGAGAUUUUUAAUUUAUAAUUUCAAUUACAAGUUAAAAUAAACUUUAACACAAAACCUAAUGCUUGAAUCCUACUUAAUUAGCAAUUUUGAAGAAACCCUCCUAAAUUUACCCCGAUGUAGAUCACCGCGGGAACUUUGAAUAUGACACAAAAUCGUCUUACCAAUAUGAUUUCACGGCAAAAAAAAGCUACAUAUAGAGAGGAUUACAUGAAAAAAAAAACAUAUUGUUUAAGUAGCUUUAUAUUGUUUCCAAAAUAAUUGUUAAAUAUAAAAAAAUUUAAACACCAUGCUCUAAUCGCUUAAAUUUUGAUAUUAUGUGAAAUAAUCGUUGUACUCUAAAAAGUUAAGCUGAUACUCCCCUCCCUUACGUCUGGACUUGAGACUUUUUCUAAGCCCAUUACGUGGAUUUAAAUUAAAUAGGAGGAAUGCGUGACUCAAACUCAAGACCUUCUAUUUUGAUACUAUGUGAAAUAAUUGUUGUAUUCUAAAAGUUUACGCCGUUAAAGAACGAUGUUUAAAUAUUUUUAUGUUUAAUAAUUAUGGUGGUGGAUGAUCUCAAAUUAUGCCUUUUUUUUUUUUUUUUUGAGAAAAGGUAGUAUACUACCACUUCAUUCAUGCCUAAAAUAUGUAUGGUUUACCGCUUCAUUCAUUGCCUAAAAUAUAUAUGGUUUUGGAUAUGGUUUUGAAUUAGUCCAAGUAUAUAAAAAUCUUGUUUGGUUUUUGGUACAUCUCUCUCUCUCUCUCUCUCUCUCUCACUCUCUCCAAUCCACUUUUGCCUCAUUGCAGUUAGGUACUAUGAAUCACGAUGAGAAUAUAACAUCUAUUUGGUAUGGGGAACCAUAGGGUGACAAGUGUGUCUCCAAACCCUCCUCUCUCUCUCUCUCUAUAUAUAUAUAUAAUUUUAAAAUUUGAAAUUUUAUAUUUUAUAUUUUAAAUUCUAAAUUUUAAUUUUAACUUAUAAUAUCUAUUUUUAAAUUUUAAAUUUUGAAAUUUAAAAUUUCAAAUCUCUAUACUCUAUAGAAUUAUUAUCUAUAAACAUAAUGAAAGCUCAAUUUUUUUGGACGCGUGGCGCUGGCGGAAGGGAAAAGUAUGGCUCCAAUGAUCAAAGCCAAUUUUCUAGUUCGAAUUACUUAUCGGCGGGUCUGUCUAACGAAGGGUUUGGAAGGACCAUCGGGUGACAAGUGUUUUGGACGCGUGGCGCUGGCGAAAGGAAAAAUUAUGGCUCCAAUGAUCAAAGCCAAUUUUCUAGUUCAAAUUACUUCUCGGCGGGUUUGUUUAACGAAGGGUUUGGGCGGACAAUUGGGUGACAAGUGUCCUCCCAAACCCUUCGUUACUCUCUCUCCUUCUCUCUCUCUAUCUCUCUCUCUAUAUAUAUUUAUAUAUAUAUAAUUUUAAAUUUUGAUAUCAAAAGUUAAAAUUUUGAUUCUUUCAAAUUUUAAANUCUCGGCGGGUCUGUCUAACGAAGGGUUUGGGUGGACCAUCGGGUGACAAGUGUCCUCCCAAACCUUCCUUUACUCUCUCUCCUUCUCUCUCUCUCUCUCUAUAUAUAUAUAUAUUUAUAUAUAUAUAAUUUUAAAUUUUGAUAUCAAAAGUUAAAAUUUUGAUUCUUUCAAAUUUUAAAAUUUUAAAAUUUAAAAUUUAUAUUUUAAAUUCUAAAUUUCAAUUUUAACUUAUAAUAUUUAUUUCCAAAUUUUAAACUCCGAAAUUUAAAAUUUUAAAUAUCUAAACUCUAUGGAAUUAAUUAAUUACUUUUAUUAAUAAUUCAUUAUAUAUUAUAUAAUUAAUUAAUUUAUUAAUAAUACAUGUAAUAAAUCACAUAAUAAAAUCUAACCUGAUAAAUGCAAUUUACAUCACAUAAAAUAUCACUGUAUAAAAGAAAUACAACAUUUUCAUUUUAGGAGUAAAAUUUUAGAAAUAUAGUGUAUUUGUGUGUAUAUAUAACUAAUUUUAUUAAACAAUUUCUUCUACAAUUCUAUUUUUCUUCUAUUUAUUAAUUUUUUUAAAAUUAUUUUGGUAGAUUUAUCUCAAAUCCUUUUCAUAUAAAUCUUUAUAAAAUAAAUUGUUCUGUAAAUUUACUUUGCGCAUAUAUCAAUUUUAAAUACUUUUAUUUAAAUAGAUUUAACUAUUAAAUUAUUUUUAUAUAUGUUUUAUUUAAUUAAUAAUUAAACUUAUAAAACUGUUUAAAAAUAUUAAAAAAAUAAAAUUUAUUAUAAAAAUAUUUUUAUAUCCGCAGCAUCGCGCAGGUAUUUUACUAGUUUUAACAAGAAUGGUGGUUGUGAUUUAAUCAUUGCAUUUAACAAGUAAUCAAAUUUAAAAAAUAAUAUUUGAGCCUUGAAAUAUAAGGAAAAAAAUUAGCCUACUUUGGGUGUGAAAUUGAGACAAAUGUCCCUCCAGGUCAACCUGUGUCUGGAAUCAUCUAGGCUUAUCUAGGCCCAAAACUAACCAAUAAAUUUUUUUCCAUUUAUUUAUUUUGUUUUAGAGAAUCAUCAUAUCCUUCUGAGGAUCAAUCACAUCAAUUAAUUACAUUAAUCACAUCAAUUAAUCACAUCAAUCACAUCAAUCUAGAACUGUUCCAAUCUAAUUCUUAUACUAGAUCUUAUUCUCCCUUGGCCAAGAACAUGAUUUUGUACAAUAUAGAGUUAUUCUUCUAGUAAUGGCUAACUUGUACUUUACUCUUCUUUUACAAAAUAUAAAACAAAUAAGUUUAGCAGAGAGCUAAUGUGCAGACUUAUUAAUGUUAGUGCCUCUUCAAUCAUCUUUAUUCAGAUAACAUUUCUACAGAAGCUCUAGUUGAGUUGAAUUAGUUUUCUGUUUAUGAAACAAUAUGUUGUUAGAUGUAAUCGCUCAUCAUGUAUACGCAACUUUACUAGACCUAGUAGUUGCAGCGGGUGUCUAUGAUUUUGUUAUUUAAUAAAGUAUCUAUCCGAAUAACGCAUACAGUUAGGUCAGAGGCAUCAAAUUAUAACUCUGACUUUUGAAUUAUAAAAUCUCAUUUUGUUCAUCCUGCUGCAUUAGACUCUUUAAAUUUAUUUCUUUACUGAGCACUCUUUAAAAAUUAUUAGUGUUGUCUACUGUCCCUAACUCAAGUGAUAAAGGAUUUGAUGUUUGGUACUCGAAGUUUUAAAUUUGAAUUCUAAUUAAUUCACAUUUCUGGCUAAAAUUUUUUUUUUUAAAAAAAUAAAUGAAGCGAAUAAUAUGCUACCUAAAUAACAUGAAACAAGCCCGUCUCACUGUGCUAGGGUGUUACAUAAAAUUACUUANUAAAUCUUUAUAAAAUAAAUUAUUGUGUAAAUUUACUUUGCGCAUAUAUCAAUUUUAAAGACUUUUAUUUAAAUAGAUUUAACUAUUAAAUUAUUUUUAUAUAUAUUUUAUUUAAUUAAUAAUUAAACUUAUAAAACUGUAUAAAAAUAUCAAAAAAAUAAAAUUUAUUAUAAAAAUAUUUUUAUAUCCGCAGCAUCGCGCGAGUAUUUUACUAGUUUUAACAAGAAUGGUGGUUGUGAUUUAAUCAUUGCAUUUAACAAGUAAAUCAAAUUUAAAAAAUAAUAUUUGAGCCUUGAAAUAUAAGGAAAAAAAUUAGCCUACUUUGGGUGUGAAAUUGAGACAAAUGUCCCUCCAGGUCAACCUGUGUCUGGAAUCAUCUAGGCUUAUCUAGGCCCAAAACUAACCAAUAGAUUUUUUUUCCAUUUAUUUAUUUUGUUUUAGAGAAUCAUCAUAUCCUUCUGAGGAUCAAUCACAUCAAUUAAUUACAUUAAUCACAUCAAUUAAUCACAUCAAUCUAGGACUGUUCCAAUCUAAUUCUUAUACUAGAUCUUAUUCUCCCCUGGCCAAGAACAUGAUUUUGUACAAUAUAGAGUUAUUCUUCUAGUAAUAGCUAACUUGUAGUUUACUUUUCUUUUACAAAAUAUAAAAACAAAUAAGUUUAGCAGAGAGCUAAAGUGCAGACUUAUUAAUGUUAGUGCCUCUUCAAUCAUCUUCAUUCAGAUAACAUUUCUAUAGAAGCUCUUUCUGAAUUGAGUUAGUUUUCUGUUUGUGAAACAAUAUGUUGUUAGAUGUAAUCGCUCAUCAUGUAUACGCAACUUUGCUAGACCUAGUAGUUGCAGCGGGUGUCUAUGAUUUUGUUAUUUAAUAAAGUAUUUAUCCGAAUAACGCAUACAGUAUGGUCAGAGGCAUCAAAUUAUAACUCUGACUUUUGAAUUAUAAAAUCUCAUUUUGUUCAUUCUGCUGCAUCAGAAUCUUUAAAUUUAUUUCUUUACUGAGCACUCUUUAAAAAUUAUUAGUGUUGCCUACUGUUCCUAACUCAAGUGAUAAAGGAUUUGAUGUUUGGUACUCGAGGUUUUAAAUUUGAAUUCUAAUUAAUUCACAUUUCUGGCUAAAUUUUAAAAAAAAAAAAAAUAAAUGAAGCGAAUAAUAUGCUACCUAAAUAACACGAAACAAGCCUGCCUCACUGUGCUAGGGUGUUACAUAAAAUUACUUAAAAAAGGUUGUUGGUGUCACAUUAAAUUAAUUUCCACCUCGGGAUCGCCGCCACCGCCAUUAAUUGGAGAUUAGUGGCAAACAUGCCUUGAUGAUAUCUAAUUUAUUAGUGGAAGCUCACACACACGCUUGCGAGUUGGUUCCUUUUUAUAGCCUUAGCUUUUCAUGAUGCCCCAAAACCCCUAAACCUUUUAAAAGCACUUUUAGGCUUAGGCUUUUUCUGUAGCUUCUGCAAGAAGCUUGUGCUUUUGUGUGUAAAUAUAUAUGAAUUGGUAUUCUAAACUUUUUAUGGAAAAAAAAAACAUGAGAAAAAAGAGGGAGCUUCUUAGUCACCAAACCCAAUAGCACAAGUCACUUGAUUCCAACCCCUAAAAUGUUCUUCUCAAUCAAUGAUUUAUGUAGACUAUAAGAAAGAUAGAUUUUUCGUGGAGAAAUAUUUAUGACCAACUUACAAAAAGAAGCAAUAGAACAGCCAAAUUUUUGCUGAAGCAUAAAAAAUAAUAAUAAAAUUUUUUUUGCAGCAAAAUUGUUAUUGUUUUAUGGCAAAAUAUUAUUGUUUUCUGCGAAUUGAGGAUGUUAUAAAUAUUUAGAGACAAUUAUUAUAUUAUUGAUCGUAUUUAGUAAAUUUAGAUUUUAAAGUUUUUAAGCUUUUUCGAGGAGUCGGGUUGGGUUAAAUGAUCAUGGAUAAAUGUCCUGUGUUGUCAAAUCUGAUUGGAUUGAAUUGAUGGAUUGAUACAUCCAACGAAGUCAUACUUAUAAAAUUUAAUAGGUCAAGUGAAGGACAUGUUUGUGCGUGUUUCACCGAAAGUGAAGUUGCGGCUAAAAUAGAUCUUUGGAAGAACUAAAGUUUAGGUAAAUUUUAUUUUAUUUUUAUCUGUUUGUAAGAUUAUAGAACUGAAGUUCUUCUAAUUUUACUAUUUAUUUAAUAGAAAAUAAAUAAUACAUAAACUAAUUAAACAUGCGAGAUAUGAAUUAAUACUUUUUUUUCUUUGUAAUUAACUUUAGCAUGCGAUAUUUUUAAGAGUUUGAGUUUCGGCUGAAGGUAAAGUUGCGGUGAACUAAACAACAAAUAUAAGUAUUUGCGGUCAAAAAUCAAUCCAUUCCUCUCCAUUUUCGGUGAAGCAAGCACAACGGCCCUAACUGUUAGGAUUUGGUUAGAUUUGUAGUUAAAUCCUAUUUGGAUAAGAAUUAAUAUUUAAAUCUGUUUGAGAUAAAUUAAGAUUUAAAUAUUAAUUAGAGGAUAAACCUAACUAAAUUAGGAUUAAUAUUUAAAUCUAUUAGAGAUUGAUUAAGACAGAUUUAGAUAUUAAUUGGAGUAGAAAUCCUAAAUAUACUAGAAUUGGGUACAUUCUAGUUGGAGCAUUAUAAAUAAUGCAUUGGGUAAAAUUAAUUUAGAGAAGCUGUGAGGGUGUACGGCAGGAGCUUGUGGGUGCCGUACCCGAGAGAGAGAAAAAGAGAGAGAGAGAGAGUUAUCCAAUGUGUUGAGUGCACCUAGUGUAUGGGUGUGCGUGGAUGAUUGUCUUCUUUGUGGAAUUAUAGAAGACGAGAGAAGGGUAGGAGAGAUUCAAGAAAGAGGGCUCGGGUUGUAGCUACUCUGUGCAGAAGAGGAGUCAAGUGUAAUCUUCUCUUAUUUAAUGAAUCUUAUUUUACCUGCAUAUUUUUCUCUUUUAUGAUUGUAUCAGCUUUUGCUGAGGAGACGGGUUUAUGGUAAAAAUCCGAUUUGACGUUUCCGUUGCGGAAUCCCAACAAUCAAUACCGGAUCCACAGCAGUCGGUAUCGGAGCGGGUUGCGGAUUCACGAGAUCCGGUACCGGGGCUAGUACCGAAUUCCCAACACUAACAAGUUUCAUCGAAAACAUAAUCGAAUCAAAUUUGAUCAACCCAAGUAUACAUAAUAUAUGUUAUGAGUUGAGUUAGAAUACUAUCGGUAGCAAACGGGCUCUGUUGCAACCCAUUUAUUUUCGAUGAUAAAGCCUCCAAAUCGACGAUCGACACUAUUGAACUUGAUCUAUACUAAUUGAAGCAUCUAGAAAUCAAAUUUUAUGUCUUUUUUAUAUUGUUUUCUUAUCCAUCAACCAGACACAAAAAUGAACGGGUGAUGAUUGGAGUCUUGUAAUACAGAUCACGAGUAUAGAUCUUCUUCUAAAUAGUUUAAAAAAUUUUCUAAGCAAAAUUCAAUUAAUUUGGAUAUUUUUACACUGUUAAACAAGAAAACGUUUUCUAUAGACCAUUAAAAUUAUAAAAUUUGAAACACUUUGAUAAUUAGGUCAAUAAUGUCAUAAAAAUUUGAAAUUUGAUUUCUAAAUGCUUCAAGUGAUAUAGAUCAUGUUCAACAAUGUCGAUCAUCAAUUUGGAGGCUCGAUCAUUAAAAAUAAAUAUGUGACAACGGAACUCGUUUGCUAUCGAUAGCAUUCCAGCUCAACUCCACAUGGUACUAUUAUUAUUUGACAUAAGUUGGAUUCGAAGCUAAUCCAACAACCUGACCCAUUAAGGGGGCGUUUGGAUUGAUUAUUUGUAGAUCCAAUGUAACUCAAAUGUAGUGGUGUUUGAGUUUUCUUAAAGUGUGAUUAUUUUUUUAUUGUUUGUUUUCACGUAACUCGUACAGUCUGAAAGUUAAAUUCAAUUAUCUUAUUCUAUUUGUUUUAAUAUUAACUUGGUGUUGAUGAAAUUAGUUUUUUGAGUUCUAUCGUUUGUUUUAAUAUAAGCGAGUGGAUUCCGUUAUCUCCUAAAUAUAGUGUUAAAUUUACCGCUAUAAAAUUUAACCUAUUAAAUAAUUAAAAUUUUUAUUAUUAUAUAAAUGUACUCCUAAUUUAUUAUAAAUAAGAUAAUUCUAUUCUAUUACUAUUUAAUAAAUUUUUUAGAAAAGGGUUAGCAUGGCGGAAAUUGAGUUCAGCACUUCAGAGAGAGAGAAAAGUCGAGAAUAGAUAAAAUAAAAAUAUAACAUAACAUGAGUUACACUAUAUUUUUUAACUUGUACUAAAAUAAAUAUCGAAAAUAAUAAAAUUUGAGUUUCAGCCGUCCACUUACAUCAAAAUAAACGGCCCAUAAGGACGCACAAAAAGCCGGCAAUUUGGAAAAAAAAAAUGUGCAGCGACCGACCGACGACUCGUAACAAAAACCGGUCAACCGUCUCCCUCCACACGUCCCGUCCGGUCGUUGCCACAACAACGACGACAAAUAAUAAUAAUAUUUAAAUUAAUUAAAAUAAUAAAAAAAACAUAAUAAUAAUAAUAAUAAUAAUAAUUAAAAAAAAAAUGUGGAUAUACAAAUCCAACUCGAAAAGGUGAGGUAAGGACCUCCGACAUUUUCGCAUCCGCCCUUGUGCUAUUCUGAUGUUACCACGUGGUUCCUAUGCAUUUUAAAUUUUGAAUUUUUAGAAAAGUAAAUGAAAUUAGUCUCUUAGAAUAAUCUUGUUGUAGCUAUUACAGAUAAUUUUGUGAUGCGGCCAAUUUGGCAUUAGAGCUUCUGGAGCAACGCGACCCAACGAAUUUGAGUCAAAACUUUCGUUGCGAGAAAUAUUUAAAUGGUCAUAAAUUUUCGCUCGAAUAUUCGAUUUCAGCGUGCAACACCAGCUCGAAAAAUAUUUUCAAGAUCUAUGCGUGAAAUCGCGAAGCCAUUUCGGCCGGAUUUGAAACCCAAAUUUAAUUAUCUCUGCCUCCAUCUAUAUUAUGUGAUUAGGUUUAGAAACAUAUAACAACUUAUUAUCUGCGUCUACUAGGAUUCAGAUAUUGCCUAUAUAUUUAGGCAUGGCAUUCGAAUAUUGUAAUCAAAGUUUUGAGAAUUAAUUAAUAAUAUUUUCAUCUUUAUCAAAAAAUUAGUUCUUUGUAUGUUAUUUUUUUUUGUUCUCGUAUUUUUUUCCUCUUAAUGUGGCUGAGCCCUACAUCAUUUUGACACUAUAUUUUUUGAAUUAUAUAAUUUUAGAGUCAAUUCUAAAUCUCUAUCUUUUGUGAGGUCGCGAGUUCAAUACUGACAAUAACCGGUGGAUAAAAAAUACGUGAGCUAAGUUAAAAAAUGGGAAUAGUUCGGGGACUAAACCGGUGGAUAAAAAGUAUGUGAGGUAAGUUAUAAAAUGGGGAUAGUUCGGGGACCAACUGUGGAAUUUUGCCGAUAAAAGAGAGGGACAAGUUUAGACGUAAGAAGCGCCAGGAAUAUAUUAGCAUUUGAGCACCGCAUCAUACGAUUCCCUUCCCCCCUCUCCUCCGUUCAUGGCCGAGCUCGUCCCUCGGCCAAUCUCCGUCGCCGCCGCCGCCAAUUCCGAUCGUCGACGACGACGACGACGAUGACGAUGACGACGACGACGACGACGACGAUCCACCGCGGCUGCCGCUUCUGCCGCCGCGGCGCCGCCGUCGACCCCGAGUGGGCCCGCCUCCUCCGCCGCUUCGUCCGCCGCCUCCUCGACCACCUCCUCGCCUGCUCCUGCGCCGGCCCCGCCUCGUGCUCCGGCCGGUACCGCCGCCUCGGCGCCGCCGCGCCGGCGCCGGCCCCGGCAGCGUCUCUUCGUCCCGCGGCGCGGCACGGAAUAUCGAGGCGAGAUUCGGACUGGUGUCCCUGAAAGUGAGGCCUCCUCGGAGACUGCCAUAUUGGGAAAACGAGCCUCAUGGUAAUGUAGAUGAUUGUUUAAUCUAAUCAUUAUUUUCUAAAUUAAUAAUUAUUGCCCCCAAAAUAAAAGCUCUGUUUCAUUGUAUUAUAUUCAUGUAGUUUUAUGUCAUUUUCAAAAUUCAGUAUUAUUGUUGUUCAUAAUUUGUUGUUGUUGUUGUUUUUUUUGGGGGGGGGGGGGAGAGCGAAAAAUUUGAUUGGUUUAUUUCAAUUUUUGCAGGUUAAGUAUGUGGGAGAUGAGGAGGAACAAAAGGGGCUACAAAUGAGAGGGCUAAAUUUAAUGGAUAAAGUUUUAGUAGUUAGAGGAGCAAGGAUCACAUUUAGCAUUUGGGAUGUUGGAGGUAUGAAUCAAAUUUUAGUAUCAAAUAUUAUGAAUUCGAAUUCAAUUCUUUGUUUUUUUUUUUUAAUUUUAGUUUUUUCAUGUUGGUAAAUUUCCGAAGGUGAGAGCCGAUUUCGCGACCACGUCCCGAUCGCAUGUAAAGAUGCUGCGGCGAUCCUCAUCAUGUUCGAUCUCACCAGCCGAUGCACGCUGAAUAAGUUCGUAUUUUUUUUUUCUAUCGGUAUUUCCAAUUAAUUUUUUGAUAAAGAUUCGCGAUUCAAAAUUUUCUUUUAUACCCAGUUUAGAAAGGAUUUAGAUACUACAUUUCAACCUUUUUUCUUUUUGUACGUUAUUCAUGUUUUUAUGAUUUCAAAAUUACUUAUAAAUGUUUCAUAAUUACUUAUGAAACAACUUUUUGUUUAUUUUUCAGUGCUAUUGAUUGGUAUCAGCGCGCAAGAAAAUGGAAUAAGGUAUUGCAAUUUGUCCAAUUUUUCAUGAGUAUAAUCAUUCUCACAUAGUUAGAUAUCUAAUUUUUCUACAUUAUGAAAAACAUAGUAAUUAUUGCGUAUUAAUAACUAUCUCAAUUUUGUAUUUCUACACAGACGGCGUUACCGAUCUUAAUAGGAACCAAAUUCGAUGACUUUGUUCAGCUUCCUCUUGAAAUGCAAUGGAUGAUUAUUAAUCAGGUAAUCUCUUUUCCAACAACCCUGCAAUUAUUUGUUAAUUUUUGUCAGAUAAAUGUGCUAACACUUUUACAGUUUCUGUUUGUUAAUCAGAAAAACUUCGAGAACUUAAGCAUCCUAAAUAUUUCAAUUGUGUUAACUUUAGCCACAAAAGUUUCAUGAUAACACAGCUAAUUAUACAAUAUAAAUACGAAACUUUGCGAUCGAAGUACAUAUUCUUUUCAUUUAAUGAUAGGCAAAAGCUUUAAUGCACCGUAUCAUUUUGAUAAGGACGCAAUCUACAGCAAAUCAAAAUAGGAAUACAAUGUACUUACGAUGUUGAUUAAGUGGUUUCAAGGAGAAUAUAUCUUUGUCUCAUGGGCCCUCUACAAAGUUUUGUACCCCACAAAUCAAUUAUGCAAAGCAAGGGGCAAAGUAUUGAAUCAUCACCAAGUAAUCCAUGCUGAAAAUUUAUUUUCUGAAAGUUACAGAGUACCAAACUUAAGAUUAAUACAUCAGAAACAAAAGCAUUUGAAUCAUAUUGUGCCAUUGAUUGUGAGAAGUGGUCCUUAGAUGAUUUAGUAAAGUUUCCGGUAGGACCUUAAGAGAUGUGGGUGGAGUGAAUAGGAAGCUCUCAACAAGUCCUUCUGAAGGUGUCCAAUUUACGAAUACUUAAAUUGGAUUGUAGAUGAGGCAUCGUUUUCUUCAUUUUCGGCUUCUUCUGUUAUUAAUAGCAACAUUUGGUUAUAGAAAUUAGCAACUAUGACUAAAAAGAGUUGAAAAGAACGGUACAGGUACAUUUUACAUCUAAAUUCAACUCCAAUGUAUCUAACAAGAAAGCAUUGAGACUGAAUCUAUUACAAGCCUCUCCUUCAACAAGUUCUAGUCAUAAUUCUUCAAGAAGAGGCAAUUAAUUGAUAUGUGAGAUUUCGUGGACCUCGCAUAUAUUCUUGUAGUUGUGCAUCAAUUUCAUGCGAAAGCAAAAAAAAUUAUUAGUAUUGCUUACAAAUUUUGUAGUACUAGCCAGUUCUAGUCGAACUAAACGGUUUACGCUAUUUCAUUUGCAGGCCAGAGCAUACGCAAGAGUGAUGAAAGCAACUCUCUUCUUUUCGAGCGCCACCCACAACAUAAAUGUCAAUAAGAUUUUCAAGUUCAUCACCGCGAAGCUCUUUAACCUGCCGUGGACCAUAGAGAGAAACUUGACGAUCGGAGAACCGACUAUAGAUUUUUAGGCUCUCAUUUCGUUUUCUUUCGCUUUUUUUUUUUUUUUCUGCCAAUUCUAUGGCUAUUUGCUCUUGCAGGUGCAAGAUUGUUGUACAUAGCAAAUGUUGUCCAUGCAACCACCCCUUUUCCUCCUCUUUUACUUUUCAUUCACUUUUUUUUUUUCCUUUUCCUUUAAUGUUCAAGGAUAAGGCCUAUAUAAAAAUGGAUCUUUUGUGAUCUUCAAAUGGAUCUUUUAUGAUCCACCUGUUUUCCUUUGUAUCCAAUUUUGGUUUCCACCAAGUGAUUGUACACUUCAGUGUUUAGUUGGAUUAAGACAAACUAACUAAUGUAACGCAAUACAAGUUAAAAGGCAUUUUAUAAAUAUGCAUUUAUUUAUUUAUAUUUGGGAGAGACAGGUAACGUGUUACGUGCUUCAUUCAUUAAAAAGAGAAAGAACAGACAACGAAUCCAAAAGCAGAUAACGACACAUAACACACGACCCGCCUGAGGGUCAUACGAAGCUGCUCAGCGACUGCAGAGCACCAGAUUUCUAGUAGAUUCGUUUGGCGACUCGUGACCUGCACCGUCGACUUCUUUUCCUGCCGAAAGAUGACACUAUUCUUCUCCCGAAAGACGACCUUUAACAAAAGAUUCUACUGCAAUGUAAUUUGCAACAAAAAAAAUCAACUUCAACACAAUUUAGUUACUAGUUAUUGCUAGUUUUGCUCUGCAUCAGCCUCCGACAUGUUGUUCAGCUUCAGUGUGGAAAUGAGCCAAUGUGUCGGAAACCGAUAACCUGGAACAUGGCACGUCGCCGAUUCGUUGUUCAUCUUUCGAGCACCAUGCCUUCGACUGGAUCGCACCGCACCGGAACAGAAAAAAACACGUUGAGUUCCUCAUAACUCCCAAAUUCAACAUCAUUCUCUCAUGAUCAUGCAAACCAUGAUCAUGUAACCAACAUAAUCCUCGUCCUUGGGGAAAUUCUUAUCCAUCAAAUGCUCCAAAGACGCUUCUUUUACUCUAGGUGAGUUUUGAGUUCUCACUGGGGCAUUUCCACAAACAUGUCGCGGGCGGGCCUAGUGAUCGAUCUAAGGGAUUAGGGAGUCGGCAACGUAAUUAGAAUCGUAGAGAAAAAGCCGGCGGCUACGGGACGAGUCGAGAGCGCGGUGGAGAUGAUGUCGGAAUCGGCGUUGGAGUCGUUACCGACUUCGUAUGGUAAGGAGUCCAGUAACAAAUCAGGGGGUCUGUUUCAAAUUUGCCUAGAUUGAAGGUGUGUCCGUACGUUUGAGAAAUAUUUUUUUUAUUUUUUUAUACACAGAUGUGUCUCAACUAAAAUAAAAAUAAAAUUAAGAGGAAAGAUACUUGUUAACUACUAUAUCCAAUGAUGAUAUAAUGAUUAAAAAAUUAUAUAAAAUCUGCUUAAUUGAAGAGCAUUCUAAAAUAAACUCCUCAAUUUUAUCAUAAGAAAGUUAAAAAAUUUUGUUUAUUUUUUAGUAAGUAAAACUGGAAUAAUCGACAUGUAACAGUUAACUAAUAAAAUUGGGAAAAAAAAAAAAACGAGCGGGCAUUUCAAAAUCUCCUGUAGUUCAGGGAGUACUCAGUCAUUUUCACCUCAAUACACCGACACCCACACACGAACACACUCCCGUUCUCUUCUUUCUCGCUCUAUUUGUAUAUGCGCUGUACGUGUUUGUAGUAUUGUCCCAAUGGCUUUCUCCUCACCUCUCACCUCCCAUUCUCGCUUUAUCCCCCACAAACCAACCCCCUCACCUCGUUCUCUACCUGAAAAUCCCCCGACCCAUCUCCUCUUCGCCUCAAUCCACCCCACCCACCACCUCUCCGUGUCCUCCGCUUCGUCCCCGAACCCUACUCCCCAACUCCCCCCCAAUAUCUCCCCAAGCGACCUCCUUUCCCUCCUCCGCCGCGAGAAGGACGCCGAAUCCGCUCUCCGUUUGCUAAAUAUCGCUUUGAAUCGCUCCGAUUUUGCGCCGACGUAUCCCCUCUACGAAGAGAUCCUUCAACAGCUCGGAAAGGCGGGAGCUUUCGAUCAGAUGAGGACGCUUUUCCGCGAAAUGAAGCGCUCGGGGUUCGGAAUCAAAGUGGGUACUUUUCCAAUCCUCGUCGGAAGCUAUUCUAAGUUCCAGUUGUUUGAUGAAGCUGUUGAUGUGGUUCUUAAUUUCAUGGAUGAGUUUGAACUCGCUGCGGAAACGGAUGUUUAUAAUUAUCUUCUUAAUGUUCUUGUGGAGGGAAACAAGAUAAAGCUAGUUGAAUCUGUGUACUCUGAAAUGGGUAGUAGAGGAAUUAAACCCGAUGUUUCGACAUUUAAUAUAUUGAUCAAAGCUUUGUGUAAAACCCAUCAAUUGCGGACCGCAGAGUUGAUGUUCGAGGAAAUGUCUAGCUACGGUCUCGCACCCGAUGAGAUUACGUUUACUACUUUAAUGCAGGGGUUUAUUGAAGAAGGGAAUAUGGAGGGUGCUUUGAGAGUGAAGGAGAGGAUGUUGGAGGUGAAUUGCUCGCCAACAAAUGUAACAGUGAAUGUUUUGAUUCAUGGGUACUGCAAACAGGGGAGAGUAGAAGAUGCCCUUGAAUUUGUGCAAGAAGAGUCUAUUAAGGGAUUUAAUCCUGAUAAGUUCACUUUUAACACACUUGUCAAUGGGUUAUGCCAAUCUGGGCAUAUCAGGCACGCUCUCGAGAUAUUAGAUGUGAUGCUUCAAGAAGGGCAUGAUCCCGACAUAGUUACUUAUAAUACCUUAAUUGGUGGGUUGUGUAAAUAUGGAGAGAUUGAAGAGGCUAUGGGUGUUUUGAAUCAAAUGGUAGAGAGGGAUUGCUUGCCUAAUACAGUGACUUACAACACUCUAAUUAGUACAAUGUGUGCGAAAAACCGGCUUGAAGAAGCCAUGGAGCUCGCACGUGGCCUCACACUCAAAGGUCUUUUACCAGAUGUUUAUACUUUCAAUUCACUUAUUAGGGGUCUUUGCAAGGCGGGAGAUCACGAAAUUGCUCUUCAAAUGUUCGAGGAGAUGAAGAAUAACGGAUGCCCGCCGGACGAAAUUACUUAUAACAUUUUGAUCGAUCACCUUUGUUUUAAUGGUAAGUUAGGUAAAGCUCUGGUUUUGAUGAAGGAAAUGGAAUCAAAUGGUUGUGCGAGAAGCACCGUGACUUAUAAUACUCUCAUUGACGGGUUGUGCAAGAACAACAGAAUAGAGGAGGCGGAGGAGGUGUUUGAUCAAAUGGAACUGCAAGGUGUUUCAAGAAACCUGGUGACAUACAAUACCCUAAUUGAUGGUUUGUGCAAGAAUAAUAGAGUCGAUGACGCCACGGAAUUAAUUGAUCAGAUGAUAAUGGAAGGAUUGAAACCUGAUAAGCUUACAUAUAAUUCACUUCUGACCCAUUAUUGCAGGCAAGGAAAUAUAAAGAAGGCGGCGGAUAUAGUUCAAACGAUGACUUCGAACGGGUGCGAACUCGAUAUUGUCACUUACGGAACUCUUGUAGUGGUCUUUGCAAGGCAAAUAGGACACAAAUUGCAUGUAAACUCCUUCAGACAAUACAAAUGAAAGGAAUGGUCCCAACUCCCAAAGCUUACAACCCUGUAAUACAAGCACUUUUUAAGCAGAGAAAGACUAAAGAAGCCAUCAGGCUAUUUAGAGAGAUGAGAGAGAAUGGCGAGGCUCCGGAUGCAAUUACAUAUAAGAUUGUGUUUCGUGGGCUGUGUCGCGGAGGCAGGCCUAUUAAGGAAGCUGUUGAUUUCUUGGAGGAGAUGUAGAGAAUGGGUUCGUACCGGAGUUUGCUUCGUUUUCCAUGUUAGCUGAAGGGCUUCUAAACUUGGCCAUGGAGGACACUCUCAAUAGGUUGGUUGAAUUGGUUAUGGAGAGGGCUAAGUUCACGGAAAAAGAAGUUUCGAUGGUAAAGGGCUUUCUUAAGAUUCGUAAAUUUCACGAUGGACUAACUGCUUUCGGCCGAAUCCUCGGUACAAGAAAGCCGGAAAGAAGAUACAAAUGAUAUGCUGAAACUCAGAAAGAUCUGAGAGUAAGAUGGUAGCAAAAGAGAGUCCUCUAUGCUGUAAAAUCGAUCAAUUUGUCAAGAAGUAUAUGCAGCAACAUGAGGGGAGAGUAGUUUAAUUUCUUGUACACGUUUUGAGUUACAUGUUUGAAAUUGCAUUUAUGAUUGAGAAUUUUCCAGAAAGUGGUUUUAGUUUCUGCAAUUGUCAACUUUGUUUAGGGUAUAAGAACAAGCUACUUACGAGUGAAUUUGAGUGUAUAAUAAAAUACCAAACAAGGCCUAAGAUACUGUUUUUGACUCUCUGUUUCGAAUACUAUCUUAAAAAAUAAAAUAAAAAAUAAUGAAAAAAAAAUUGUGGUGCAGUAAAGCAAACCAAUGAGGCCCAUGGGCUUCAUUUGGGGGUCCGGCCCAUUAAUAGCAUAAUUUGCCAAAAGGAAUGGUUCAACCGUCUUAUAAGUAAAUGUGGAGGGUAAAAUUGGAAAUUUAUCUCCUUGCCCUUUCCAGUGCCUUAGAUAUAAAAGCUCGAAACCCCCUUCGAAGUCCAACUCCGCAGCUAGGGUUCUUCGGCGGGUGGUGGAGAGGAAAGAGGAGGCUUCGGAUUCGAAACCCUAACCGUAGCCGCAAAAAUGGUACGAAUCUCUCUCUCUUUAUCUACCUCCGAUCUCUAAUCUCUCUUUCUAGAUCGAAAUAGGGUUGGUUUCUCUUGCUCUUGAUUUGUUCCUAGAAAUAUAUGCGACGUGUUUCGAUUUGGGGUUGAAAGGAUGAAUCUUGGAGAAUAUAAUGCGGAAUGAAGUAAGGGAUCUGUGGGAUGUUAAUGGUAACACUCUGGGAUUGUUCUAUCGGUGUCUUUGUGUUUAUUGAUGUGUUAAUUCGAGUGGGAUUCUAUAAACUGGUGGAUGCUGGUGAGAUUUGGAUAUUUUGAAUGAGUUAAGUGAAAAAAGGUUGCUUUUGUGAUUUACUGGAUAUUUAGCAAAGUAAUUUAGUUAAUUUCUCUCGAUUGGAUUGAAUUAAUGUGUGUUUUGUAUCCGUGGUUCUUUGGCAAUACGAUGCUAAUUCUUUUUUUUGGGUUGCAAUCACUAUUAAAAAUUGUGAAUAUUCUUGAGUGCUUGUGCAAUAUUGAGAAGCUAAUGUAGGAGUUUUGUGUCGGGUUGCAGUUGAGGUUUAUUAGGAUGUCUAGUAUGUUGUGUUGUUUUACCAGGUUUUGCGUUUUACCAGGUUUUGCGUUUGAUAUUUAUUAGGAUCUCUAGGGUUUAUUUUGGGGAUUUUUUAUUAGAGGCUUUUGGAACUCAAUUUAUUGAAUUAGAAUCUUUGUUUAGGUUGGAUUUGAAAGGAUCUAGUUCUCAUUUGGAGAUUGAGAGAGGUUUCCUUCACUAUUGGUGAGUUUUCACCCUUUUCUUGAAAUGAUUAAUGAUCGACCUUAGGGUUGUUCGUUCGAUUUGCUUAACUCUCUUUUUAUUACUUUUAGGGUGCUAGGAGAGUCAUAGGCACCUUCGUCAGUGCAAACGAAGGGUGCAGGAAGUCUUGGUGGGUUUGACUUCAUGGAAUAUGGGAGAAAUUCCUCCUAUGUUAUAUUUGCUUGUCGUAAAAUAGAAAUGCAUGCACAUUCAUGCUAGAUAGCAUUUAUGAGAAUUUUAGAAUGCUUAAAGUCCUUAUGUUAUGCAUCAUGAAAAAUUAGCUCUAUAUAGUAGAGAGAGAUAUAUGUGUUGUUGGCAUACCCAUGCAUAGCAUUUUAAUAAGGGGAUUGGAAAUCAUGUUUCUUGCAAAGAAGAUGACUUAUGUAACAUGCUCUUGGACUUAGAAUUCAUGUUUGACAUAGUGGAUAAAGUGCCAUGAAGGGGCACUCAACCUAGUAAACGGUUAAACUGCAACAUGAUGACAUAGUGAUAUGCCAUUGAGACAUUGCCUUUAUUCCAUGUUUUAGACAUGAUGAUUUUGGACUUGAGACGGACUUUUACGCUUGCUUGCCAUUGUGUUCAUUCGCACAUGCUUGUGAGGGUCGCUUCCCACAAGCCGGCAUUCCGGAGAUAGCCAUCACGACAUAAGCUCGCCCGUGCGGGAUUGGGCCCCGAAAUGGUAUGCCGUUGGGGAGGCUCAUUCCUAGGGUAGGGAUGUUGACUACCACGUGGCCAUUAGACACGGCGCAAGCCGGACUACCCACGGGUAGGUCCUACAUGAUUGGAACACUAAUGAUGUAAUAUGCCAAGUGGACAUUGAGUAGACUAGUAAACAUUGACAUUUUACUAUUUACAUUGUGGACAUCAUGUUGGUUAUACUCAUGCAUAUAUGUUAGAAUAAUAUUUAUACUUAUGCAAGGUCAUGCUAAGUAGAGGCAUAAUGGUUUAGCAAGAUAUUCAUGUUUAAAUACCUAUUGUUCAUUUCGUUUAAAUACUUGAAUUUUCUACUUCAUGGUUUACACUUAGUGGAUUUAGCUAUUUUACUUACUUCCUUAUUGUAGAAUCUAGUUGUACUAUGCUCUGAUACUCCUAGAUGUUCUUUUAUUAUUGUUUCAUUUAUCGCUCUUUUGUAGAUGCCUUAUAUGUUGCAGGCAUAUGGCGGGUCUGGACACGUACCGGGCGGGCUUCCGUUGGGUCUCGGAGUGUGACAGGAUCCCUAUAAUUUUUAAAUUGGAAAAUAGAAGCCUCAAAGGGUCGCACAUCAGUAUGUAUUGAUCUACUCAUUUUGAACUGUUGGCAUUUGGGGCCAAAUAUAAACCAAUUUAAUGUCUCCUCAGCAUUAUAUUUUAGGCCAACCUAUCUGAAGUCCAAAAGAACUUCUUCAAACACUUAAACUCUAGCCUAGGAGAUCACAUUCCAUCCAGGGCUUAUUUUACCACUUGCAUCAAAAAAGCAGAGUAAUGCAAAGUGCAACUAUACCACGUAGACUCAACAAAGUGCUGCAACAAUAUUAUGCAUAAUUUAUAUCUACAUCAAUCUAUAUCUUAUAGAGAAAAAUAUUUUCAUCAAAUAAUGUAAAUUGAAGAAAGAAGAUUGAUGUAGAUAUAGAUUACGCAUAAUAUUGUUGCAGCACUUUGUUGAGUCUGCGUGGUAUAGUUGCACUUUGCAUUACUCUGCUUUUUUUAUGCAAGUGGUAAAAUAAGCCCGGGAUGGAAUGUGAUCUCCUAGGCUAGAGUUUAAGUGUUUGAAGAAGCUCUUUUGGACUUCGGAUAGGUUGGCCUGAAAUAUAAUGCUGAGCAGACAUUAAAUUGGUUUAUAUUUGGCCCCAAAUGCCAACAGUUCAAAAUGAGUAGAUCAAUACAUACUGAUGUGCGACCCUUUGAGCCUUCUAUUUUCCAAUUUAAAAAUUCUAGGGAACUGUUUUGGUGCACCAAUUGGGACCUUUGAAAGCUUAUUCGACAUUGCUUCGAACCCUAUUUCCUUGACCCGAUCUCAGAUUUAAUUCCCUUUGUGGCUGUUAGAGGUUUAGCUCAGCUUUUACAUACAUCCAAACUUUUUUGGUCUGCAUCAUAGUUGCACGUUGUGUGUGCGCGCGUGCACGUGUUCGUGUGUGGUUGCUUGUACAUACAUUUGAGAGUGUGCGCGCGCACUUAUUCGUAUAGAUAUACGCUUGCACCUGUGUAGCUCUCAUUAAUCAUACUCCAUCUAUUUAUAGAUGGCCCUUGAGAUUCUAUAUUCAAUAGUGAUGAUACUAGUUAGAUAGAUCAUCAAUGUGUAUUGCACAUUUGUAAGCAUUAUACUUCUGGAAAAAUGAACUAAAAGUUACAUAAAGGGCUCUGAUUAUUGUAGAAAAAGGUCUUGGUGUGAUAGCUUUCAUAAAUGAAGGUGCUACAAUUGCUUGUGAAGUGUGAACUCUUGAAACAGGUUAGGUUGGAAAGAUUAAUUCGACCAUCUUGGGAAUGAUAGAAUUUUAUGCCAUGAUAAUGGAUGAAAUUAUGUUGAUUGAUGUAAUGAGCACUAUAGAACUUUCAUAUAGUAUUAGCUGUUGUUUGAAGAUUUUGCAGUUUACUGAUUCUGUUUCUUUAUAUUCCAAUUAAGUUUUUAGAUAUUUCCAAUUUCAGCAUUUUUGUAUGUUUUCGCAUUAUGCUCUGAAUGAUAGCUUCUUCUGGGUGAACAAAUCUCAUCCUUCAUGUUAGUUCUCAUCAUAAGUUGCCGCUUAGAACCAGUAAUACUUUAAACAAAACUGUAAAUGUGUGUUAGCAUAUGCUUACAUGCAUAUAUGUACAUGUAUAACAAAUAUGUUCCAUGUGCCUGAUCACCUGAUAAUACUUCAUUUGAUAUAUUUCCUUGCAGGAAACAAGAAGGUUUAAGAUGAGUGCUCCCUUUAUGCUUGAGAAAGAUGCUCCAUUCGCACUUCGCGGUGAGAAACUACUAUUUUCCCAUUUUAACUGUGUAGUAUUCUUUCCGUCGUUAGUUAUAUCCUAUUUUUCUGAAAUGUCGAACAUGAUUAAAAUUUUAUUUUCAAAAAUAGCAUAUUAAUCUCCCGGAUCAUUUUCACGGUCUUUUGCUGAAGUAAUCUCAGCAUAUCUAUUAAAAAUUCGAGCUUAAUAUGUCACAAAUUGCAGAAUUUUAUUGCCCAGAUAAUUUGUUAUAUUUUCAGGCAUUCUCGGUAGCAUGAGUUCCAGAUACCACACCAUGAGAGGGUUCGACCGGCCCAUACCAACUAGUGAGCAAUUAAUGGCCUACAAAACUAUUACUAAUCUCCCUCAAGCUUCAUCCUUUCCUCCAAGUGGAACCCGGGCCCUUCACUCAAGCCGGGCCUUAUCUGAAUCGGCGAAACCAAUUUUGAACCGUCCGCUAUCACCUCAUCUUCCUUUAAAGAAGCCGCAGCUGAGUGCGACAUACUCAAUCUCGCAUCGCAUAUUCGGAGUCGGCUUAGCCACUCUUAUACUCCUGCCUCCCCUUGCUAUGAAGUUUAGCCUCCUAUUUGAUAUCUGAGAGUUAACUAGAAAAAAGAGGGGGGCUCUCUUUUGUUGUGCUAUGGUUCCAAACACUGGGACUUAUUAUAAUAUCAGAGUGAAUAAUGGUGAGGCUACUUUUGUAAUAAGUGCUUUUUAGAGCUGUUCUUUUGCACCUUGUUUAAUAUGGAUAUUAUCUGAAACAUUUGUGGUUUGUGUUUGUCUCUUGCAACUAUGAAGUAUAAUAUCCUUUGCAAAUUGACUAAAUUAGUAUCUGGUGAAAUGAAUAUUUCAAUAAUUAAAUAAGAAAAUGUAAUUUGAUGAGUAUUGGGGUUCUCUCCUAUGCAUGAAGUUUCUUUCUAUUGCGAAUCAAAUUCGUUUUACUAAAUUUGAACAGAUUUUAGCUCCCCUCAUUCUCCUCGAAAAUCUCCUUAUCGAGUCGUUGGUGAAAUGUAUUUAAGUCCAUGUUAAAAUGAAUUUAUUUAUUUCUAGUCAUCUAAUCUCAUCUGAAAUUAUACAGGAAAUAUAGGUCUAGAUCACACGUGCUGGACUAUUAAAUGGGCACAUAUACUCACUUGUUAGGAGUGUAAAUCUUACACCAUUUGAUCAAGG